UUUUUUUUCAUAAACUUUAUAAAUUUGAUAAAGUAAUAAAUUGACAAACCGCAUAUAAUUCUAAGUCUCAAGGUGUAGUCAGGUCUCGAUCGCAGCAACAUGAAUUUUUUGCAUUACUUUUGAAAGGGAGCGCGCAGUUGUGCGAUGGGAUUGGUUAUACAAAAUUGAAGUUGAAAAUUGAAAAAAAAAAUAAAAAUGGGAGCGGUAGUAGCGAGCAUUUCGGGCAGUAAGUGCUGCAGAGUAGCAAUAGUAAGUAAAAAGAACAAAACGUUGGUUUCGUAGGUUUUUGAACGUUGUUAGGGGAAGUGUAUUCUGGAACUACAGGGUAUAGUCAAAAUUGACCAGAUUGUGUUAAUGGUUUCCUGAAUAGGGUAGCGUCAGCAUGUGAAAGACGUGGCGCAGCGGGGUAUAACAAUUAGGUAGCAGUGUAUCGCAUGAAAAAAGAAAGUGAGAUAUGUCAUAUUGCUUUCGUGGCCUUUUCCUGGGAGUCUGACACCGCUAGUAGGUUUCCGAGGGUAGCUGUAGUGUCCAGAACAGAACAUGUCAGGGGAAGGCCGAGAUAGGAUUAAUGCCGAAGCAGUUUUUGACAAUGAGCUGUGUAGAGGCAGAACAGAGAUACAACGGGAUGUGACCAGGGUGUAUAUAUAGUUGUAUUUCAACAGAGAGUGUGCACGUGCACUAAGCUGCACUUCUCAAUCGAUGCAGCCGCGAUGCAUGCUUCCUUCAUGCAGCCGCAUGAAGGAAGUGAAGAGAAAGUUAAAGUAUGGCGUGAAGUAGCGCGUGACAGCCUAUCACAUAGGAGAAGGAAGUAAAUGUGGCUAUGUAUAUAAGUCCAAAUGAUCUUUAAAGUGUAUGUAUUUCAGAAGGCUAAUGAAAAGUUAGCAGACCGGCGGACGAUUUCAAGUCGAGGCCCUUGCCCGUGAUCAUAAACCAUAUGCCGGUAAUCCAUGUCUAUAUAUCUGCCGACAACCCGCACUGGCCAAGUGAAGAGGAGGUUAUGAUACGUGAAGAUUACGCGGCAAUGUAAUAUGGGUUAGACAAGUGUGGGCCGUCCAAGUUCGAAUUGUGUUGGUAAACCUGCGCGAAUAGCCGCAAUCAUGAAAGGCAAAAAGAUUAGAUGAACACAUUGCUGGCUACGGUAAAAUGGGUGACGACAGUAACGGGUGUUGCAAGAAGCAACGUGGCCGACGGAUCUACUUAGUGCGUUAUUUGAGUUGCAUAAGUCAGAGUCGUAUGAGAAACAUUGAGCUGAGUGACACUCGAAGGAUGCUGUGCUUGCUCUUAUGACCUACAUAACCCAUAGUAAAUACAGGGAUCUCAUCAGCUUAGGUAGUUGAUUUAAAUUUGAGUUUAAUUUUCUAAAAAACGAUUCCCAAAAAGGAGUUCUACAUAAGAGAUAACCAAUAGUAACUGCUGUGAUGAAAACCCUUCUGAGUCAAGUUGUGUGCGCCAGAUCGAAGCGAAGUAGAAACACUGAUAGAAGCUCUUCAUAAAUAAAUGUUGACGAGAACUUGAUUAUUAAAACGAUUCGAGAAUUGGACGGAGCAGAAUCUCUAUAAUUGUUAUGCAGAGCUGAGCUGUUUACAGCGAUGCUUGAAGCGGCCCUCCUUAGUUGCCCACCAUAACUAUUUUGGAGGCGAGUGUGAAAAAUUUUGUAGUAUAGUGUAGCAGUUAGGUAGUGACCCACUAAAAUAAAAUCAUCUACUUGAUUAGUGGAAGUUGCGUUGUAUUGAUCAUAACGGGAUUCCUGGUUUAUAAGGCUUCCCGAUUAAUCGAGAAUUCGCUGUCGCGCUAAAGGGUGGAACGCACAUCUAUUAUAUUCUGGCUAAUGUUCAGUAAGGUCGAAAUAUUUGCUACUGAGUCUAACUGGCAUAAGCCCUUUAAGUUCACAACUUGCGAUAUUUGUCAGCAUUAUAAACUAUUAGUGUGCUAUUACAAAGGAUUGUUGAAAAAAUGAUAGCGGCUUUUUUCGGUGUUAAAAUUAUUUAUGCUUCGGUUUUUUUGCGCAAUAUGACUGUUCUCAUCCGUUGGUUCCUCUCCCAUUUUAUUGUAUGUUUGGACCUUAAGAAUAAGAAUGUCAGGUAAAGUGAACGAAAGAUUUUAGCUUUUCACUAAUUUUAAAAAGCUUGGUAGCUAACCUAAGGGAUUUGCUACGCAUGCGAUGAAGACCUUAUAGCUAAGAGAUAUGGGUUCAUCUAACAUGCAGCUUCUUUUUAGUGUGAUUCAAGGUGGUCCUCAUCGAACCCGCAAGGCCCUUUUUUCUGAACACUGACAAAAUAAACAAAAAUUGUGAUUACUUGCAGAUUAAAAAAUCUAAUUCUCCUUAAAAAAAUAUUGUUGAAUGUUUUUAUAAUUAAUUUCCGGAAAUGACGUUUUAUAUGAGGGGUCGUUUCCGAAAUUUCUGUAAACAUUUUUUUAGCAAAUCUUACCAACAAGAAGCAUUUGUAAUUGACGUUUUUUCUAUUUUCAUCACAGGAGGCCUGUUCCUUCAAUUCCACCGCGUAUUCCUGACCGACCUGGAUCACAAGUUCGCCCGUAAACUGCUAAGCCAUAUUUGACUGAAAAUCAUUUACCACAAUUACAAUACAAAUUCUAUGCUUUCAACGGCCUUAUAGUCGACGCAAAAGGCCACAAUAAUGAGUGAUUCCAUUACACUGGACCUCUUUUUGUGGUUGGUAAUCAUUUGCGUAGAUGUCAAUAUGAAAUUCGCUCGUCGACGUAAUACAGGAUGUGACAUAAGAGGAAAUAAACAGCGCUAAAGCGGAUCAGGUUGUACAAAAGCAAAAAGCAGCACCACAAAGGUGGUGUGGAUACGGAGUCGAUUCGCGUAGCCACCCUCCUGACGUGGGAAGAUCCUUAAUGAUGCAUAGCAUCUGAUCACACUGUAUAACAACUAAUUAAUGGCUUAACUCUACUGGUCCUUACAACAAAAAGUAUUUAUGAAAAUGGUUAGCAACAUAAUAACGUGCACUAGAAAUAUUUUGUUUUUCAAUUAUAAGACGGAAGGUGGACGGAUGCAAAAAUAGCGCCCCAGCAGGGAGACAAAAAUAUUCGUUAUAUAUAUGCUAUCGAUAUAUUUAGGUUAAUUAUCCGUAUGAACUGUAGAUUGACUGCUUUGCUGAACUGAAGCGGGGCGUUGUAGACAAUAUAAACAAACGAAUUAAUAGACUUGACUGACGUAUAUAAAACGCAUAAUAAUGCGUACAGAUAUGUAGCUGAUAUGUGAUAUAAUGGAAGAACUUAAUAUGACAAGGCGAUCCGAUUUCCUAAGUUAUUUUGACUCUGUAUAAGUCCUGCUUGAGAUUGGUGUCUGUGUCUAUAAAUCUUGGAUAUAUUUCAGAAUUAACUAAAUUGCGCCAAAAACAAUAAGUGAAUCUUUUUGAUACAACUGACCCGAAAACAACGAUUGGUGAACUUUACAACAUCGCACAUAUUUUGAAUAAAUUAAUAUUUCAAAUAAUUGU